AUGUUUGGGACAUCUGCCAGGCUCCAUGCUGUGUCCCCCAAGGUUGCCAAGAGGUCCCCAAAAGAGUGGCACAAGUCCCUGACAUCCCCUUUACCUUUACAUCCCUGUGACCUGGACACUUUCCAUGAGUGUGAACCCAAGCCUGCAGAGUGCAGCCGGUGCUCUACGGAAGUGAAAAGUUUUGCAUCUGUCAGCAGAGCAGUCACGGGAAGCCUGCUGACCGAUAUUGACUGGGAAGAAGAGGAGAGACAGCUGAGGUGUAUAGGGGGCCCUGUCCCAGGGCUCAGGAGCCUGGGUUAUUUCAAGGAGUUUGAACAAAAUCCCGAGCACCCAGCUCCCAGCCCAGCUGGUGAGAAAACCCCACAGAUCAGCCACCAGCAGCAUAGGGAGAAGGCAGUGAAGCACAUUGAGAUCAAAAGUAUUGAUGCCUCCCCUCCAAGCCAGGAAAGCAUGAAGCGCACCAAGAUAACUUUUUACAUGGCCCCAAAUAAAGAAAGCCCUUGGGGGUCUCCAGUGGAAGAAGAAGAGGAGAGAUUCAUGGUGAACACCAGAAGCAGUGUCCCAGCCAGCAGCAGCAGUGAGCAAAGCCUAUCCAAGAGCUUACAGACUGUAAGAGUCCAUAUCCCUCAGACAGUUUUCUACGGGCAGAACACCCCCCUGGUCCUGCAGUCCAUUUCCAGGCGCUACCACCACAGACCAACAACCCCAUCCCAGCAGACAGAGCACAAAGAAAGCCCCCAAAGUGCCUCCUCUCCCAAGGAACUGGAGAGCAAGCCAGUGGAAACGGCGCAGGCGCCAACCCAGAGCAAGGGCUUCAACACGUUCAGCCACACCAUCCGUAUCAUCCUCCCAGCUUCCAUUCGAAACACUGUCAGGGAAUAUUUCAAGCAUGACGAAACCAAGAACUGCCACGCUACAGAGGCAGAAGCAGUAGAGAAUGAACUCCUUCGGAGCAGGGUGGAGUGGCUCAGGAGCCAGCCACCAGCAGAGAUGGCCACAGAGGAGUGUGAUACAGUGGCAUUUGCAGAAGAGACAUUUGUCUAG
rnacentral:lncRNA from 1 species